rnacentral:rRNA from 1 species
AUUAAAAACCAAUGCCCUUCGGGGCUUCUUGGUGAUUCAUGAUAACUUCUCGAAUCGCAUGGCCUUGCGCCGGCGAUGGUUCAUUCAAAUUUCUUCCCUAUCAACUUUCGAUGCGAGGGUAUUGUCCUCGCAUGGUUACAACGGGUAACGGAGGGUUAGGGCUCGACCCCGGAGAAGGAGCCUGAGAAACGGCUACUACAUCCAAGGAAGGCAGCAGGCGCGCAAAUUACCCAAUCCCGACACGGGGAGGUAGUGACAAUAAAUACUGAUACAGGGCUCUUUUGGGUCUUGUAAUCGGAAUGAGUACAAUUUAAAUCCCUUAACGAGGAACAAUUGGAGGGCAAGUCUGGUGCCAGCAGCCGCGGUAAUUCCAGCUCCAAUAGCGUAUAUUAAAGUUGUUGUGGUUAAAAAGCUCGUAGUUGAACCUUGGGCCUGGCUACAAGGACCGCCUCACCGCGAGAUCUUUCCGUAGCCGGGUCUUUCCCACUGUGGAACCCCAUGGCCUUUACUGGUUGUGGC